GACGAACGCUGGCGGCGUGCUUAACACAUGCAAGUCGAACGGAAAGGCCCUGCUUUUGUGGGGUGCUCGAGUGGCGAACGGGUGAGUAACACGUGAGUAACCUGCCCUUGACUUUGGGAUAACUUCAGGAAACUGGGGCUAAUACCGGAUAGGAGCUCCUGCUGCAUGGUGGGGGUUGGAAAGUUUCGGCGGUUGGGGAUGGACUCGCGGCUUAUCAGCUUGUUGGUGGGGUAGUGGCUUACCAAGGCUUUGACGGGUAGCCGGCCUGAGAGGGUGACCGGCCACAUUUGGACUGGGGUACCGCCCAGACUCCUACGGGAGGCAGCAGUGGGGAAUAUUGCACAAUGGGCGGAAGCCUGAUGCAGCAACGCCGCGUGCGGGAUGACGGCCUUCGGGUUGUAAACCGCUUUCGCCUGUGACGAAGCGUGAGUGACGGUAAUGGGUAAAGAAGCACCGGCUAACUACGUG
rnacentral:rRNA from 1 species